rnacentral:rRNA from 1 species
UGGCGGCGUGCUUACACAUGCAGUCUACGAGAACGAGGUAGCAAUAUCUUUAGUAAAGUGGCGUACGGGUGCGUAACACGUAAGUAAUCUACCUUUGGGUUCGGAAUAACUUCGGGAAAUCGGAGCUAAUACCGGAUAAUGCAGCGGCACCGCAUGGUGAUGUUGUUAAAGUUUGUGUAAUGCCUAAAGAUGAACUUGCGUCUGAUUAGCUAGUUGGUGAGGUAAUGGCUCACCAAGGCUGCGAUCAGUAGCUGGUCUGAGAAGAUGAUCAGCCACACUGGAACUGAGACACGGUCCAGACUCCUACGGGAGGCAGCAGUGAGGAAUAUUGGGCAAUGCCCGAAAGGGUGACCCAGCAACGCCGCGUGGAGGAUGAAGGUCGUAAGAUUGUAAACUCCUGUUAGAGGGGAAGAAUAACUAAGUUUGGAGCUUAGUGUGACUGUACCCUC